UACGGGGGGGGCAAGCGUUGUUCGGAAUUACUGGGCGUAAAGGGCUCGUAGGCGGCCAACUAAGUCGGACGUGAAAUCCCUCGGCUCAACCGGGGAACUGCGUCCGAUACUGGAUGGCUUGAGUUCGGGAGAGGGAUGCGGAAUUCCAGGUGUAGCGGUGAAAUGCGUAGAUAUUCGCAAGAACACCAGUGGCGAAGGCGGCUCACUGGCCCGAUACUGACGCUGAGGCACGAAAGCGUGGGGAGCAAACAGG
rnacentral:rRNA from 1 species